UACGAGAGGCCCAAACGUUAUUCGGAAUUACUGGGCUUAAAGAGUUCGUAGGCGGCGCAGAAAGUAGGGUGUGAAAGCCCUCGGCUUAACCGAGGAAUUGCGCUCUAAACUGCAGUGCUUGAGGAACCUAGAGGUGAGCAGAACAGAUGGUGGAGCGGUGAAAUGCGUUGAUAUCAUCUGGAAUACCGGAGGCGAAGGCGGCUCACUGGGAGUUUUCUGACGCUGAGGAACGAAAGCCAGGGUAGCGAACGGG
rnacentral:rRNA from 1 species